rnacentral:rRNA from 1 species
GCGGGGAUUAGUGGCGAACGGGUGAGUAACACGUGGGCAAUCUGCCCUGCACUCUGGGACAAGCCCUGGAAACGGGGUCUAAUACCGGAUAUGACCGUCUGCCGCAUGGUGGAUGGUGUAAAGCUCCGGCGGUGCAGGAUGAGCCCGCGGCCUAUCAGCUUGUUGGUGAGGUAGUGGCUCACCAAGGCGACGACGGGUAGCCGGCCUGAGAGGGCGACCGGCCACACUGGGACUGAGACACGGCCCAGACUCCUACGGGAGGCAGCAGUGGGGAAUAUUGCACAAUGGGCGAAAGCCUGAUGCAGCGACGCCGCGUGAGGGAUGACGGCCUUCGGGUUGUAAACCUCUUUCAGCAGGGAAGAAGCGAAAGUGACGGUACCUGCAGAAGAAGCGCCGGCUAACUACGUGCCAGCAGCCGCGGUAAUACGUAGGGCGCAAGCGUUGUCCGGAAUUAUUGGGCGUAAAGAGCUCGUAGGCGGCUUGUCACGUCGGUUGUGAAAGCCCGGGGCUUAACCCCGGGUCUGCAGUCGAUACGGGCAGGCUAGAGUUCGGUAGGGGAGAUCGGAAUUCCUGGUGUAGCGGUGAAAUGCGCAGAUAUCAGGAGGAACACCGGUGGCGAAGGCGGAUCUCUGGGCCGAUACUGACGCUGAGGAGCGAAAGCGUGGGGAGCGAACAGGAUUAGAUACCCUGGUAGUCCACGCCGUAAACGGUGGGCACUAGGUGUGGGCAACAUUCCACGUUGUCCGUGCCGCAGCUAACGCAUUAAGUGCCCCGCCUGGGGAGUACGGCCGCAAGGCUAAAACUCAAAGGAAUUGACGGGGGCCCGCCACAAGCGGCGGAGCAUGUGGCUUAAUUCGACGCAACGCGAAGAACCUUACCAAGGCUUGACAUACACCGGAAACGUCUGGAGACAGGCGCCCCCUUGUGGUCGGUGUACAGGUGGUGCAUGGCUGUCGUCAGCUCGUGUCGUGAGAUGUUGGGUUAAGUCCCGCAACGAGCGCAACCCUUGUCCCGUGUUGCCAGCAGGCCCUUGUGGUGCUGGGGACUCACGGGAGACCGCCGGGGUCAACUCGGAGGAAGGUGGGGACGACGUCAAGUCAUCAUGCCCCUUAUGUCUUGGGCUGCACACGUGCUACAAUGGCCGGUACAAUGAGCUGCGAUACCGUGAGGUGGAGCGAAUCUCAAAAAGCCGGUCUCAGUUCGGAUUGGGGUCUGCAACUCGACCCCAUGAAGUCGGAGUCGCUAGUAAUCGCAGAUCAGCAUUGCUGCGGUGAAUACGUUCCCGGGCCUUGUACACACCGCCCGUCACGUCACGAAAGUCGGUAACACGCCGAAGCCGGUGGCCCAACCCCU